CAAGGCUAACACAUCAGAACAAGAGGACAUUUUGCUUUUUUUUUAUCAUGGCAUCAUGUGGACUGAUUCAUUGUUUUUACUGCAAAAAUCAGAUGAAACCAUCCAAAAGGAUCCUAAUAUGUCACAGUUGAGAUUUGGCAGGUGAGGCUGAACAGCAGUUCAUGUGUAUUUAAGGACAGUAGCAGACGGGUUAAAUCAUUCCUUGUGUCGAGAUGCAGUAAUGAAUGACCUACGUACUCUGGAUUUAUUGAAGUAUCCAUUUUGUCUAAUGAUAGCUUUGUGGAGAAGAUGGAGGAUCUUGGUGUCACACAAGGUUGUCUUUGUGAAGGAGACAAAUUUCCUUUCUGCGAUCAAUAGGACGCCAUCUUAUUCCCCAGCCGCUGAUCUUAAUGGGAAGCACAUGAUUGUGAGAUAUCGAAGGCAGCGAAGGAUACAAAUGCUGCCUUCAAAAAUCUAUCAGAUGAAGGUAUCUCAGGAGACGUGAAGUGAAGCUAACAUUGGAUUUGAAUGUCAGGAUGCUAAAACCAAGGUUUUGAUGGCUCCACACUAUAAACAGCUUCAUUUGGGACUGGGAGAGUUCUAGUUUGGUUGUGUUUUGCCUGAGGUGUGCUAUAAAAAAAAUCUAAUUUAUGACCUAUUAUGGGUAUUUUAUUUUAUUUUAUUUUUAGGGAAUGGUCUGGGACAAACAAACACAUUGCAUCUAUUUGAGGGCUUGCAUAUAUGUUUGUAUGUACCACAGCCUUGCCCCAUGUGACUUCCUGUGACAUGCGAGGGCAGGGUGGAAAAUGCUCUGAUGGGUCUCUUGAUUAGCUGUGGCUCUAGCUGUUGUUUCUCUUCCCAAUGUCACCUCAAGGUCUCCCACCAGCAGAGAACUGUGCUUGCCUCUGAUCUAUGGUCAAUCGGGACGGGUAUGUGUUAUACAUCAUUCAGAGGAGGGCUUUUGGUUAGCCGGACACUUAAAAAGGGGGCUUGAUUCCUAUUUUAUUUUAUCCGACAUAUUCACCUGGGCUUAAAUGCCUUGCUUAGGGGCACAGUGGCUCUCUCCAGUUCAAAGGUCACUCCCACUGGGGUCAGAAUGUACAUCCUUUCGAUUACCAGCCCAGACCCUUAACCACUCCACUAUAACCACUCUGUAAAGGGCAAAUGAAAGAGCAGAGUUACAUAAAUAUACAUUAGGGGUGCAAAAGUAAAUUGUGACAAUAUGCAUCAUGUAUAAUUCACCAAAAAUUAACGUUUAAAGUUACAUUUUUGCAUCAGAUACGGUAGUGGCACAUCAAAUAUGAUAAACCCAGAAGGUCACACAUUUGAGCUUCCAUGUUUGUUAAAUAUUAUUAAUAAUUUAAAAAUAAAAUAGAUUUAUAUAUAUUAUAUAUAUAUUAUAAAAUAGAUAAAAUAUUUAAAACAUUUUUAAAUGUAUGUGCAUGCAUAUAUGUCUAAAAUAAUUCUUGAUUUUUAGCUAAGCAAAUUAUUAAGUUAUUAAUUAUUUCUGUUCUGGCGUCACCAUUGCAUUGUGCUUAGGGGAGAAGGAGCCAAACCUAUUCAAGUACAUGUAAUACCACAUUUAACAUUUUAAUGAAUGGUACUUUUUAUUAACUGUUUAUCAUAUGCCUUUGAUUUUAUUUUGGCUUGGUUUAAAGUAUCGUGAGAUCAGUAUUGUGUAUUCAACCAAAUCAUUGGACUAUUGUUACACCCCUAAUAAACAGUCUUCUCAAUGUAAAAGCAGGGA